GUAUUAGUUUCCAUCCUGGCCAGGGGACCAGACCCAUAGACUGGAGGUAUUAGUUUCCAUCCUGGCCAGGGGACCAGACCCAUAGACUGGAGGUAUUAGUUUACAUCCUGUCCAGGGGACCAGACCCAUAGACUGGAGGUAUUAGUUUACAUCCUGGCCAGGGGACCAGACCCAUAGACUGGAGGUAUUAGUUUCCAUCCUGGCCAGGGGACCAGACCCAUAGACUGGAGGAAUUAGUUUCAUACAGGAGAAUGAUCAGAGUCAUGUCUCCACUAUUACAGGAACAGUAUCUAUACAGGAGAAUGAUCAGAGUCAUGUCUCCACUAUUACAGUAACAGUAUCUAUACAGUAGAAUGAUCAGAGUUAUGUCUCCACUAUUACAGGAACAGUAUCUAUACAGCAGAAUGAUCAGAGUCAUGUCUCCACUAUUACAGGAACAGUAUCUAUACAGGAGAAUGAUCAGGGUCGUGUCUCCACUAUAACAGGAACAGUAUCUAUACAGGAGAAUGAUCAGAGGCAUGUCUCCAAUGUCCACAUUAGGGAAAGAAGUCACACUUCCUGUUUCCACUCAUCUUUAUUUGACUUGCUGUAAUACAGAGAUACAGGCCGUCUUAAAUCGUACAUUAACUCUCUUAACUUUUCUUCAUUUUGUCUUCAUUGAAAAUGUGUCACGUCCUGACCAUAGUAAGUUGUUAUUUUCUAUGGUAGAGUAGGUCAGGACAUGACAGGGGGUGUUUGUCUGUUUUUGUAUUUCUAUGUUCAGUUUCUAGUUUUGUAUUUCUAUGUUGGUGUUGUUUGGGUUGAUCUCCAAUUGGAGACAGCUGAUCCUCGCUACCUCUAAUUGGAGGUCAUAUUUAAGUUGAUGUUUGUCCCACCUGUUUUUGUGGGUGAUUCAUUUUGAGUAGUGUGUUUUCCUCUCUGCGUCAAGUUUUUUUUUGUUUGUUGUAUUUCUAGUAUUUAGUGUAUAGCAUUUAGUUAUACGGAAUAAAUAAAUAUGUGGAACUUCGAACACGCUGCAUUUUGGUCCAAUCCUUCAGACAGCCGUGACAAAAUGAAAGCUGUGUGUUUCUUUAUUCACCAUUUCAAUAAGGGAAGAACCAGUUUUAAUGUCCAGCAGGCUCUGACAAGACCCAGAAAGUAUUAACACUUCAAGACUCUAUGGUCAGAUGACUUUUCAUAGAGACGUCAUGGUAAAUAAUGGUAAUGAGGGGGGGACUAAGACCACAGUACACCACUACACUGGGAGUAGAGAAUCAUCAAUAGUGUUGCUGUGGACACUGGGUAAUCUGACUAACACACACACCUGUUUGACCUCUCUGUGACCUCACUGUAGGACUACACUUAUGUUACUAUUCUGAGUCAAUUCAGGUAGCACUUAAUGUCCUGUGUUUGUGUUAACCAUGGCAACCAGCGUUGUAAAUAAAGAGAUGUGCAGAAAGAUAA